ACCCUAAGGGCCUUUUCUUUCUCAAUGGGUCGUGAAACCCGAGCCGCCACCCCUCCCGUUCCCUCUCUCCUACGUCAUCUAUGUCGGAAACGACAAAGAAAGGAAAGGCCCGCUUUGGUUUUGGACCGUGCAUGGUCGAGAAUGGCAAGAGCAUUAAUUGCUCUGCCAUUUCUCACCCUCUUUCCACCGAACUCAGCCCAAACGAGUGUUGGGAUUAAGGAGCAAGGAGAUCUAUCCAAGUUCAAUCUCAAUUAGUGUUGCACAAGAGAAAGGCCGCUUGAGCCGCAUCCUUGCAUGAAACCUGUUGGGCCAAAGGCCCAACUGCCUUCUUUUAUAAAGUCUGACGGAGGAGAAAUGGAAGCUACUAUGUUGAAGGCCCAGUCAUGGGUGAAAAUGACAUUGAUGGGCUUGGGUAGGCCCAUCAGCCAAAAUUUACUUUACUUCUCUCCUGCUUUGCAUUAUAUAUAUCUUGCUUGUAUAUAUGUUGUAUAUGUAAAUAACACUUGUAUAUUGGAACCCCUAUGGAUGUUAGAACUUAGGACAACAUUUAGAGUUUUAG